GUGAAUCAUCGAAUCUUUGAACGCACAUUGCGCCCGCCAGUAUUCUGGCGGGCAUGCCUGUUCGAGCGUCAUUACAACCCUCAGGCCCCCGGGCCUGGCGUUGGGGAUCGGCGAGGCGCCCCCCUGCGGGCACGCGCCGUCCCCCAAAUACAGUGGCGGUCCCGCCGCAGCUUCCAUUGCGUAGUAGCUAACACCUCGCAACUGGAGAGCGGCGCGGCCAUGCCGUAAAACACCCAACUUCUGAAUGUUGACCUCGAAUCAGGUAGGAAUACCCGCUGAACUUAAGCAUAUCAAUAAGCGGAGGA
rnacentral:misc_RNA from 1 species